rnacentral:rRNA from 1 species
UACGUAGGUGGCGAGCGUUGUCCGGAUUUACUGGGCGUAAAGGGAGCGUAGGCGGACUUUUAAGUGAGAUGUGAAAUACUCGGGCUCAACUUGAGUGCUGCAUUUCAAACUGGAAGUCUAGAGUGCAGGAGAGGAGAAUGGAAUUCCUAGUGUAGCGGUGAAAUGCGUAGAGAUUAGGAAGAACACCAGUGGCGAAGGCGAUCCUCUGGACUGUGACCGACGCUGAGGCUCGAAAGCGUGGGGAGCAAACAGG